rnacentral:lncRNA from 1 species
AAUUUCAGUUUUUCUACUUUAAGCAUUUUCAUCUGAACAUUUUUACUUGAUCAAAAUCAACUCUUUAAACCCUUUUAACCGUUGAUCGAAUUUGUGUGAUUUUGAUAUGGAUAGAAUGGACAAAUUGCGUGUAAUACUACGCAUAAAGAGAGCGAUACUACUAAUUUUGAUUCUUAUAAAAGGAUCCAAAAUCAGAUCAAAAUGAAAAGAAAUAAAGUUAAAAAAAUAAUAAAAAAUAAAAUUAGAAAACCCAAUCUCCUCCCCUCCCCCAUUUAUGCUCUUCCGCAUAGGAGCAGGCAUCAGUCAGUUCUGUUCAGUUAUGAAUAUUAUCG